rnacentral:tRNA from 1 species
GCGCCCGUAGCUCAGUUGGAUAGAGUAUCGGCCUCCGAAGCCGAGGGUCGCAGGKUCAAAUCCUGCCGGGCGCG